CAGUCGCCGCGGGAAUACGGAGGGAGCUAGCGUUAUUCGGAAUUACUGGGCGUAAAGCGCACGUAGGCGGCUUUGUAAGUUAGAGGUGAAAGCCUGGAGCUCAACUCCAGAAUUGCCUUUAAGACUGCAUCGCUUGAAUCCAGGAGAGGUGAGUGGAAUUCCGAGUGUAGAGGUGAAAUUCGUAGAUAUUCGGAAGAACACCAGUGGCGAAGGCGGCUCACUGGACUGGUAUUGACGCUGAGGUGCGAAAGCGUGGGGAGCAAACAGGAUUAGAUACCCCGGUAGUCCCUGUCUCUUAUAC
rnacentral:rRNA from 1 species